AUUGAACGCUGGCGGCAUGCUUUACACAUGCAAGUCGAACGGUAACAGGCCGCAAGGUGCUGACGAGUGGCGAACGGGUGAGUAAUGCAUCGGAACGUGCCCAGUCGUGGGGGAUAACGCAGCGAAAGCUGCGCUAAUACCGCAUACGAUCUAUGGAUGAAAGCGGGGGACCGUAAGGCCUCGCGCGAUUGGAGCGGCCGAUGUCAGAUUAGGUAGUUGGUGGGGUAAAGGCCCACCAAGCCAACGAUCUGUAGCUGGUCUGAGAGGACGACCAGCCACACUGGGACUGAGACAAGGCCCAGACUCCUACGGGGGGCAGCAGUGGGGAAUUUUGGACAAUGGGCGCAAGCCUGAUCCAGCAAUGCCGCGUGCAGGAAGAAGGCCUUCGGGUUGUAAACUGCUUUUGUACGGAACGAAACGGCUCUGGUUAAUACCUGGGGCUAAUGACGGUACCGUAAGAAUGAGCACCGGCUAACUACGUGCCAGCCGCCGCAGUAAGAC
rnacentral:rRNA from 1 species